rnacentral:tRNA from 1 species
GGGAGCAGAUAGGUGCUGGUGUGCCUCCCGGUCUUCAAAACCGGUGCGGACGGCGAACAGCCGCCUGGAUGAGUUCGAUCCUCAUAUGCCCCC